CUCGCUCCAUGGAGCACAGCACCUUGACAUAUGGAUCUCCACACUGUCUUAUUCUGGGCCAGGUCCCAGGCUGAUCUGGUGUUGAGUCCCAGGUUGUGUAGUUUAAAUUCUUUGUUGACCUGGUUCAGUGUUUAGAUUGUAUGUAUGCACUGUUAGGCUUCUGCUGUUAGAUACAUGGUGACCUUAUUCUAGGAAGCUGAUAACAACAAUCAACACCGUAUCUGUCCUGAAAGACUUUAUCACCUUUUGAAUUGGUCUUAUCAUCUCUAUAAUGAGGAGAAAUAUCAUCUACCAGGGCUAGAAGCAAUCUGUCCAUAGUAAAUGUGAUAGUCCUACUUUGCCCACUUUGAAUAGAUAAGUCAUGAAGGUAUUUCAAAAGGCCAACAACACCAUGAUAAUCAAUAAUACGAUCAUUAAUAAAAUGCUAAUUUGAGGUCCUAGAUCUACUUUGCCUACCAGCACGACAGUGAGUCCUACAGAAGGUGUGUUGGGCCUCUAAAUGACCAUCUCUGUUACGGCUGUCCUCGCUGACAGAAGGUGGGGACCAAAACGCAGAGUGGUUAGUGUUCAUUCUUUUAAUGAAAAUCAACAAAACACUUCAAAAUACAAAAAACAACCAACGUGACAAAACCGAAACCGUCCUGUGUGGCAACAAAACCUCCACAGGAACAAACACCCACAAAACACAAGUGAAACCCUGGCUGCCUAAGUAUGAUUCUCAAUCAGGGACAACGAUUGACAGCUGUCUCUGAUUGAGAAUCAUACCAGGCCAAACACAAAAUCCCAACAUAGAAAAUCAACCAUAGACAACCCACCCAACUCACGCCUUGACCAACUAAAAUAAAUACAAAACAAAGGAAAACAGGUCAGGAACGUGACAAUCUCUGCAAAUAGUAAUUAUACAGUCAAGAGUUUAGAUUACGGUCCUGUAAAAUUAGGAGACCAACAUUAUGUAAUACCUUAUUCUUGUGUAAUUAUAUUGCUUCCCACUAGUUUCGACUGUUACUUCUACUUUGACCCCAGACACCCCAGUGAGAUCAACUACCAGGUUGACCUCUCCUUUGACCCCCAGCACAGCAGUGAAUCCUACAUCAGGAGGUCAAAGCUCCACAGAAAGCGUUCUGGCAGUUUCGACUGUUACUUCUACUUUGACCCCUGACAUCACAGUGAGACCAACUAGUUUGACCUCUCAUUUGGCCCCUAGCACAGCAGUGAAUCCUACAUCAGGUGUG